GAGUGCUUAAAGCAGGCGCAAGACGCCCGAAUGACUGUGCAUGGAAUAAUGGAAGAGGAUCUCGCUUCUGUCUUUGUUGGUUCCUCGGAAGGCGAGAUAAUGAUUAAUAGAAGCAGUCGGGGGCAUUCGUAUUGCGACGUUAGAGGUGAAAUUCUUGGAUCGUCGCACGACGAACUACUGCGAAAGCAUUUGCCAAGAAUGUUUUCGUUAAUCAAGAACGAAAGUUAGAGGUUCGAAGGCGAUCAGAUACCGCCCUAGUUCUAACCAUAAACGAUGCCGACUGGCGAUCUGUCCUAGUUACUCGCACGACUGGACAGGCAGCCUCCGGGAAACCAAAGUCUUUGGGUUCCGGGGGAAGUAUGGUUGCAAAGCUGAAACUUAAAGGAAUUGACGGAAGGGCACCACCAGGAGUGGAGCCUGCGGCUUAAUUUGACUCAACACGGGAAACCUCACCAGGCCCGGACACCAAAAGGAUUGACAGAUUGAGAGCUCUUUCUUGAUUUGGUGGGUGGUGGUGCAUGGCCGUUCUUAGUUGGUGGAGCGAUUUGUCUGGUUAAUUCCGAUAACGAACGAGACUCUAGCCUGUUAACUAGCCGGUGGAUCAUUAAAUUGAUAUGCGGUGAAGUGGUUGUUGUUACCUUUCGCGAGGUGCAGCCCACAUAGUCGCGUCCACCGCGUCUUCUUAGAGGGACAGGCGGCUCUUAGCCGCACGAGACGGAGCAAUAACAGGUCUGUGAUGCCCUUAGAUGUCCUGGGCCGCACGCGCGCUACACUGAAGGAGUCAGCGUGCACUCCCAGCCCGAGAGGGCCGGGUAACCCGCUGAAAUUCCUUCGUGAUUGGGAUCGGGGUUUGCAACUAUCCCCCGUGAACGAGGAAUUCCCAGUAAGCGCGAGUCAUGAGCUCGCGUUGAUUACGU
rnacentral:rRNA from 1 species